rnacentral:tRNA from 1 species
GAGGGUACAGCUUAGUGGUAGCGCAUGUGCUUAGCAUGCACAAGGUCUUGGUUUCCAUUCCCAGUACCUCCA